rnacentral:rRNA from 1 species
AUUGAACGCUGGCGGCAUGCCUUACACAUGCAAGUCGAACGGCAGCACGGGUGCUUGCACCUGGUGGCGAGUGGCGAACGGGUGAGUAAUACAUCGGAACAUGUCCUGUAGUGGGGGAUAGCCCGGCGAAAGCCGGAUUAAUACCGCAUACGAUCUACGGAUGACAGCGGGGGACCUUCGGGCCUCGCGCUAUAGGGUUGGCCGAUGGCUGAUUAGCUAGUUGGUGGGGUAAAGGCCUACCAAGGCGACGAUCAGUAGCUGGUCUGAGAGGACGACCAGCCACACUGGGACUGAGACACGGCCCAGACUCCUACGGGAGGCAGCAGUGGGGAAUUUUGGACAAUGGGCGAAAGCCUGAUCCAGCAAUGCCGCGUGUGUGAAGAAGGCCUUCGGGUUGUAAAGCACUUUUGUCCGGAAAGAAAUCCUUGGCUCUAAUACAGUCGGGGGAUGACGGUACCGGAAGAAUAAGCACCGGCUAACUACGUG